GACGGAGGGGGCAAGCGUUGUUCGGAAUUAUUGGGCGUAAAGAGCUCGUAGGCGGUGUGUCGCGUCGGCCGUGAAAACCUGCAGCUUAACUGUGGGCUUGCGGUCGAUACGGGCAUCACUGGAGUUCGGCAGGGGAGACUGGAAUUCCUGGUGUAGCGGUGAAAUGCGCAGAUAUCAGGAGGAACACCGGUGGCGAAGGCGGGUCUCUGGGCCGAUACUGACGUGAGGAGCGAAAGCGUGGGGGAGCGAACAGG
rnacentral:rRNA from 1 species